GGAAGCACCGGCUAACUCCGUGCCAGCAGCCGCGGUAAUACGGAGGGUGCAAGCGUUGUUCGGAUUUAUUGGGCGUAAAGCGCGUGUAGGCGGUCUUUUAAGUCUGAUGUGAAAGCCCCGGGCUCAACCCGGGAAGUGCAUUGGAUACUGGGAGACUUGAAUACGGGAGAGGGUAGUGGAAUUCCUAGUGUAGGAGUGAAAUCCGUAGAUAUUAGGAGGAACACCGGUGGCGAAGGCGGCUACCUGGACCGAUAUUGACGCUGAGACGCGAAAGCGUGGGGAGCAAACAGGAUUAGAUACCCUGGUAGUCCACGCCGUAAACGAUGAGAACUAGGUGUCGCGGGUAA
rnacentral:rRNA from 1 species